rnacentral:rRNA from 1 species
UGGGGAAUUUUGGACAAUGGGCGAAAGCCUGAUCCAGCAAUGCCGCGUGUGUGAAGAAGGCCUUCGGGUUGUAAAGCACUUUUGUCCGGAAAGAAAUCCUUGGCUCUAAUACAGUCGGGGGAUGACGGUACCGGAAGAAUAAGCACCGGCUAACUACGUGCCAGCAGCCGCGGUAAUACGUAGGGUGCAAGCGUUAAUCGGAAUUACUGGGCGUAAAGCGUGCGCAGGCGGUUUGCUAAGACCGAUGUGAAAUCCCCGGGCUCAACCUGGGAACUGCAUUGGUGACUGGCAGGCUAGAGUAUGGCAGAGGGGGGUGAGAAAUCCACGUGUAGCAGUGAAAUGCGUAGAGAUGUGGAGGAAUACCGAUGGCGAAGGCAGCCCCCUGGCAAGUACUGACGCUCAUGCACGAAAAGCGUGGGGGAGCAAACAGGAUUAAUACCCUGGUAGUCCACGCCCUAAACGAUGUCAACUAGUUGUUGGGGGAUUCAUUUUCCUUAGUAACGUAGCUAACGCGUGAAGUUGACCGCCUGGGGAGUACGGUCGCAAGAUUAAAACUCAAAUGAAUUGACGGGGUCAU